rnacentral:lncRNA from 1 species
CAGAGCUGCGCCCCGCCGCGGCCUGAAAGCAGCCGGAGGCCGAGCGUGGCGGUGGGGGAUGUAUGCGUCUUCCAAAAAGGUGCUGGAUUCCAUGCCAUCUGCAGCGCUUUCUAUCCGCUUUACAUCUCAUGCUAUCUAGGAGUGGGCAGAACAAGAUGCUUAAAACUUAAAUAAGAAUACAGUCCUAAGUAGGAAAAGAAAGCAUUCAGACCUCUUUCAAAAAUAUUUAUUGCAUUUAGCAUUUACUUUUUCCUAAUUAGAGAGUUUCCAAUAAGUGCUCACAGCUGGCACGUUCAGACACGUUUAUCACAUUACUCCAUGACAUCUCAGAAAGCAAACAGAAAAGAUCUUAAGAAGAAGGAAUAAUGACACAAGAGGUAGGUGAAGAGCCUUGUACUGACACAGCUUUAUACAAAGGGGACAAAGGAUAAUACAAUCAUAUCUGCAAUGACUACUAAUAGUCACUUAUUUAAGGUGGUUAUAUCAUGAUUCAUAAACCACGGUUUGGCAUGACUGCUACAGCUCCAUUUAGUUAAAAAACGCAGGUUUGCCACAUUAUACAGACCAAUAAUGGUGUUCAUAGACAAUGUUUCAGCCCUCUGAAGGGCUCUUUUCAUUCUUCUACACAGGCCUCGUUCAGAUGCCAAGUCAGAAGCAAUGCAGAACUACAGAGCCACUGGGAAAUCAAGCAUUUAUCUUCCGUGAACAAAUGUUAACUGUUAACUCAGAACUCCACGUCACAAGUAAUAGGCAGCCCUGAGUCAGCCAGAGCAAGGACUGUGCUAAGGGAAACAGCAAUGCUCAAGACACUUCACAAACUUUUGCAGGCUAUCAAUCAGUGCCUAAUUGUUGCCCUGGAAUCCAAGAACACUUUUUGUAUAGGCUACUUUACUACCGUUAUGGGAGCUUUACAAACGCCAACGGUAGAUGAAUGGAUAUGCACACACACGCACUAUAAAU